UAAUGCCGGAUGCUCCAGUUGAUCGCAUGGUCUUCUGGGAAAGCUUUCGCGGUAUGGGAUGGGGUCGCGUCCUAUCAGCUUGACGGCGGGGUAACGGCCCACCGUGGCUUCGACGGGUAGCCGGCCUGAGAGGGCGACCGGCCACAUUGGGACUGAGAUACGGCCCAGACUCCUACGGGAGGCAGCAGUGGGGAAUAUUGCACAAUGGGCGCAAGCCUGAUGCAGCGACGCCGCGUGAGGGAUGGAGGCCUUCGGGUUGUAAACCUCUUUUAUCGGGGAGCAAGCGAGAGUGAGUUUACCCGUUGAAUAAGCACCGGCUAACUACGUGCCAGCAGCCGCGGUAAUACGUAGGGUGCAAGCGUUAUCCGGAAUUAUUGGGCGUAAAGGGCUCGUAGGCGGUUCGUCGCGUCCGGUGUGAAAGUCCAUCGCUUAACGGUGGAUCCGCGCCGGGUACGGGCGGGCUUGAGUGCGGUAGGGGAGACUGGAAUUCCCGGUGUAACGGUGGAAUGUGUAGAUAUCGGAAAA
rnacentral:rRNA from 1 species